rnacentral:rRNA from 1 species
UACGUAGGGGGCAAGCGUUGUCCGGAUUUAUUGGGCGUAAAGAGCGUGUAGGCGGCUUUACAGGUCCGUUGUGAAAACUCGAGGCUCAACCUCGAGACGCCGGUGGAAACCGUAAAGCUAGAGUCCGGAAGAGGAGAGUGGAAUUCCUGGUGUAGUGGUGAAAUGCGCAGAUAUCAGGAGGAAAACCAAUGGAGAAGGCAGCUCACUGGGACGGUACUGACGCUGAGACGCGAAAGCGUGGGGAGCAAACAGG